rnacentral:rRNA from 1 species
UAUUGGACAAUGGGCGAAAGCCUGAUCCAGCAAUGCCGCGUGAGUGAUGAAGGCCUUAGGGUUGUAAAGCUCUUUUACCCGGGAUGAUAAUGACAGUACCGGGAGAAUAAGCUCCGGCUAACUCCGUGCCAGCAGCCGCGGUAAUACGGAGGGAGCUAGCGUUGUUCGGAAUUACUGGGCGUAAAGCGCACGUAGGCGGCUUUGUAAGUUAGAGGUGAAAGCCUGGAGCUCAACUCCAGAAUUGCCUUUGAUACUGCAUCGCUUGAAUCCAGGAGAGGUGAGUGGAAUUCCGAGUGUAGAGGUGAAAUUCGUAGAUAUUCGGAAGAACACCAGUGGCGAAGGCGGCUCACUGGACUGGUAUUGACGCGUAGGUGCGAAA